UACAGAGGGUGCAAGCGUUAAUCGGAAUUACUGGGCGUAAAGCGCGCGUAGGUGGUUUGGUAAGUUGGAUGUGAAAUCCCCGGGCUCAACCUGGGAAUUGCAUUCAAAACUGCCAGGCUAGAGUAUGGUAGAGGAAAGCGGAAUUCCAGGUGUAGCGGUGAAAUGCGUAGAUAUCUGGAGGAACAUCAGUGGCGAAGGCGGCUUUCUGGACUAAUACUGACACUGAGGUGCGAAAGCGUGGGGAGCAAACAGG
rnacentral:rRNA from 1 species